rnacentral:misc_RNA from 1 species
UCUCCGUAGGUGAACCUGCGGAGGGAUCACUACAGGCUUGCAAAAGCACUGAAACCACUGUUUAUCUACCUGAAUCUGCUUCGGCGGGCGGCCCCAGGGAGGAGCCGUUGCCGCAAGGCGCAGUCCGAAGACCCCUAACGCUAUCGUCUAUAGGAUCUCUGUGUAUCAUAUUAAACAAAAAAACAACUUUCAACAACGGAUCUCUUGGCUCUA